rnacentral:lncRNA from 1 species
UAACAAGAGCAAGUUCUGGUAGAAAGAAGGUGACUUUAUUCCAGAGCUCAGAUAAAUAAAUAAAAUAAAAAAUAAAAAAAAGGGAUAGAGAGAGGUUAGAGGAGACAUGGUGGGGGUUAGAGAAAGUCAAUGAGAAUUUUAAAUGGGGUCAAUGAAGAUCAUAUAGCUGCCAAGGAGAGAUGUGUUAGGGUAAGUAGGGAGAGAGUGAGAAAGGAUUGUUAGAGUUCAGAAGCCAUAGUGAGACAUAACCAACUCUCUGCCCCCCAGGUGUUUGAACUGAUGUCUGAUGAGGAUGAAUCCAGCGACUACCUCUGCCUGUCCAUCCUGGGCCUCUUCUGUUGCCUUCCCCUAGCCAUCCCAGCCGUGAUCUUUUCUUGCCUGGUAUUUUUGGUGGAGCUGGGUUUCACCAUGUUGGCCAGGCUGGUCUUGAACACCUGACCUCAGGUGAUCUGCCCACCUCAGCUUCCCAAAGUGCUGGGAUUACAGGCAUGAGCCACCAUGCCCGGCCACGCAAUAACUCUUUUAUACUCAUCUUUCCCUGUUCCCUCUCUCCUAAAACUCAGACAAAGUUUGUAUUGUAGACAAAGAACUACAAUAAAUCCAGUGACUAUGAGCUGGCAGCCAAGACCUCCAAACAAGCCUACUACUGGGCCAUCGCGAGCAUCACUGUGGGAAUCUUAGGUACCAUCUUGUACACCUACCUGAUAUACUUACUUAGAUUGUAAACUGCUUCCCAGCUCUUGAACAAACCACCAAAUAUACACCACAGUGCAAUUUACCUUGGCUCUAAGCAUCUACUUGGGCUGAAUGGAACACCUGCUCCUCAAUGUCUGGAGUGCCAAGCUAUCUAAGAUUAGAAAAACAAAAUGCAAAGUGUUCUUCCUAUUCUUACAUGCCCCUCAAAGUAACACUUCUUUUUUUUUUUUUUUUUUUGACAGAGUCUUCCUCUGUCCAGGCUGGAGUGCAGUGCCACGAUGUCGGCUCACUGCAACCUCUGCCCCCAAGGUUUAAG